CCUACGGGGUGCAGCAGUGAGGAAUAUUGGUCAAUGGACGAGAGUCUGAACCAGCCAAGUAGCGUGAAGGAUGACUGCCCUAUGGGUUGUAAACUUCUUUUAUAUGGGAAUAAAACGUUCCACGUGUGGGAUUUUGUAUGUACCAUAUGAAUAAGGAUCGGCUAACUCCGUGCCAGCAGCCGCGGUAAUACGGAGGAUCCGAGCGUUAUCCGGAUUUAUUGGGUUUAAAGGGAGCGUAGGUGGAUUGUUAAGUCAGUUGUGAAAGUUUGCGGCUCAAUCGUAAAAUUGCAGUUGAAACUGGCAGUCUUGAGUACAGUAGAGGUGGGCGGAAUUCGUGGUGUAGCGGUGAAAUGCUUAGAUAUCACGAAGAACUCCGAUUGCGAAGGCAGUUCACUGGACUGCAACUGACACUGAGGCUCGAAAGUGUGGGUAUCAAACAGGAUUAGAUACCCGAGUAGUC
rnacentral:rRNA from 1 species